rnacentral:lncRNA from 1 species
AAAAAUAUUAAUCAAAAUCGAAGCAUGCAACUUUAACGAUGAAACCAGCCUUAACAAGAUAUCAGAAACUCAAAACAAAAUCAAAGACAUGAAAAUUUAAACGACGAAACCAGCCUUAACAAGAUACCAGCAACUCGAAACAAAAUUAAAAGAAUGAAACUUUAGCUACCAAACAAGCCUUAAUAAGAUACCAGCAACUUGAAACAAAAUUAAAAGCAUGAAACUUUAGCUACCAAGCCAGCCUUCAAAUCAUAAGUAGUACCUAAGAUGAGAUGUUAAGUCGAAGAUUAACCAACAAUAUCGAGAGUAAAUUACACAAUCAAUGUCGAGACACAGACAACAGAAAUUGCACAUCAGAUAACUCAAAAUAAGAAUUAAUCCAACGCCAUAAUAAUCUAACACUUUCUUCACAACUAUAGAAAAACCUAUGGCCUUUAAGGCCUCUACCAGCAAAUAACCCAGCACACAAGCAGUAUCAAAAACUAUCUACGACUAUAGAAUGGCGAGAUGAAGUAGAAUACGAUCGAAAUUUAAAUGGCGAUAGAAUGUUACCUAUUUAGGAGCAGCAAAAUGGGACUACGAGCUGAAAAUCAACAUUAUCAACUCAGGACCUCCAAUUAAUCGAUGAACUCUCCAAAGAAGAAAGAAAGAGAAAAAUUUAUAUUAAAAGGGACUAUUUUUGCUUUCAGAAUUUUCUUCCUCUUUUUUUUGAAACUUUUCUCUGCUUUAUCUUUUUUUUUUGAAAAAUUUUUCUCUCCUCCUCCCAAAGACCCUUCUUUAGCUCCAUGAAUGAGCUUUUUAUAGCAACAAAAAAGGAGAGUUCUCAAAACCUUUCCUUAAUGUCGAAACACAACCCUUUUGGGGGGUAAUUUUAGAAUUUUCCCUAAGGUAUUCAAAUUUCACAACUUAAGACCAAAUUUUCGCCCAACAAAUUGCACCAAUUGAACUAUUUUUGAACAAAUCAAAAACCAAAUUCAGCCAAUGAGAAUUAAGGGCAAGAAUAAUUCUCCAAGAACCAAUCAAAAUCUAACAAGUAUGUAUGAAUUCGUAUGAAUCAACCAUUGGAGUAGGAAAACUCGACAUAUUCUAGAAGAUUAGGUAUGAAAUUGCAUGUUUGUCACAUAACCCGUACGAUCAAAAGAAAAAGGGAUAAAUUUACAGGGAAAAAGAAAAUUAGGGUCGAUUCUUGGGUUUGAUGUGGAUUCGGGUCGAUGUUAUUAAGUUCGUCGAUGGUUUGUCACUGCUUUGUGAAGAGAAAAUGUUGAAGGUUAAUCAGUUCAGGUGGGUCAAAAUUAUUUGCAGUCGGGUCGCCGAUAUUGAUGGUGUUGGUUGGUCCAUGAAAUUAUUGUUGUGUUCUAUUGUUUGCUUUGAUAUUUGUUAACGAACAAAAAGGGAGUAAAAAUAAUUGGGCUGGGUCACUGAUUGGGGACUUGGGCUGGGGCAGUUUAAUUAUUUUUCUUCAAAUAGAAUGGGCUAGUUUUAAAAAAGGAGACAAAGGGCUGGUGAUAGCAUUUUGUGAAGUGGGCUCGGGUGAAGGGUUAUUGGGCCUAGAAUUGGCAGAUUUUGAUUAUUUUUGGAUUUGGCCAACUUAUUUAAUUUUUGGCCAAAUUGAAAAUCAAUUGGCCAAUUGCAUCGCAAUUGUGGCCAAUUUGAUUUCAAUUAUGGACAAAUCUAAUAAUAGAUUGGCUAAAUUAGAUCAAAAUUUGAAAUAAAUUAAUACUUUAUUUAACCUCGAGCUUCUUUAUUAGAUAAAAUCAAACACAGAUUUAUCCAAAUAAAUUAUUCUCAAGAAUAAAUUGUAUUUAAAUUAAUAUUUUAAUUAUUUAAAAUUAUAUUGAUAUAACCCUUGAUUAGAAUUCGAUAUUUCGUAAAAAGAGAUAUUUAAGUAAUUAUAUUAUAUAAUUUCGUAUAGUUAAAUAUGAUGAUAUAUAAUCUUUACUUAAAUUGGCAAAAUUACCCAUAUAAAAGCUUUUUAUUCAAAUAAAAAAUGUUGUAAUUUUAUUCAAAAUCAAAGAAACUCAGAGUUAAAUUCAGUUAUGGAGGGCAAAAUUAGGUGUCAACAACUGCCCCCUCCCUUUGGGUAGGGUGGAUACAAGUAACCUUGGGUAAAGAGAGGUUGACGAUCCUAAUUUUAUCCAACCAAAAAAUUUGAAUCUGAAAGAGGUUAGCUUUAGCAUGAGUUUCAUGGAUUUAUGGCCGGACCUCAGUAUCAGUUUUCCUACAUAUAUUAGGUUACAUGAGAAUUCAGAGCACUUGUAGUUCAUAAAGCUUGCUUGUAAGCACGAUUUUCAAUAAAAUUCACAAGUUAUCUCGAUUUUAGAGUUUUUGAUGAAACUGAAAAACUGGGGAAUAAAAGGAUUUGGGGGGAGGUUGGAAUGCAGUUGGAUUUUCUACAUAGAUCCCAGCCUAUAUAUUCCUAAGACUCAAGAAAUCAGACUGUUUGUAGUUUGACUCAAUCGGUAGAAAAGAUAGUCUUUUAUUUUAGAUAAUUUUUGGCUCGGGAGGAGUGACAAGUUGAUCGAGUUGUGAAAAAGAGGUUUGUAACCUCUUAACCAUGAAUGUUAAUCUCUUCACAUCCAUAGGUAAGAACUUACCCGGACAUAAUUUCCAAAACUCUAGGUGUGCUAUCACUCGAAUUUGAAAGAAAGACAAAUUUACCCUCAGUAUGAGUUUAGAAAAUCCUGAAGGUGAAGAUGAAACCAAAAUAUCCCAAAAUACCCAUAUACCUGCUAAUAAGGGUAUAGUUAGAUGGUGGUGGCGAUCAUCCUUUAGCUCGCGUCCAAAGAGUUUGACGUCCCUCUCUAGACUAUGUUAUUUGGUAGGUCUAACUUGAACCUUAGAACUUCAAGACUCAAAGUUUGUGUUCUUGGUGUUCUUGGUGUUCUUGGUGUUCUUGGUGUUCUUCACCAUCUCCAUAGUAGUGAAAAUGAUGGUAUAUCUUUCCUUGAAGGCUAUAUCCAUUAUGCUAACCCGUUCUAGUGUGACAACAUUCCUCCUAAAGAUGAAAAUCUCUUCUUGGAAGAUGAUAGUACUCUUAUGGGAAAGGAAUGUGUACUCUCGGAAAUGAGUACUCUUGGUAGUACUCUUGGUGUUCAUGAUGAUCAAUUUACUCUUAAAUGUAGUUCACUACUUGGGCAUGUGAAUAGAGUGCUUAAAAAUUCGCAAGUUAGUGAUAGUGUCUAUAGAAUUGAUCUUGAUAAUUUGCAUGACUCUUUGAACAUCUUGUGUGGUAAAAGUAUUGCGAUUAGUUUUGUUCAUAGAGAUCAUGUGUAUGAAAAUGUUUUUGUGUGUGAAUGUAGGAGUGAUAUUCUAGGGUAAGGAAGGGCUAGCCUCGGCUUAGGCCCUUGGCUAAUUCUUUCAUUUGAUCCCGGUACCAUCUUAGGGUGGGAAAGAAUAACUCUCCGCCUAUUUUCAUUCUGUUUUGGUAUUUAUCCGAGCCACUUCCUUUGUCACAUUUGUACUAAUAUUUUCAUGUUUAAUACAAAGAACCCGUGGAUAUACUUCAAAUUUAUUCCCCCUCGGCAUGGCAUAUUAAUGUGUUUAUUUUUUGCUAACCCUAACCCUCGUGUCAUGAGGAUGUGUGCUUAUUUGUCUUCUCUUGAUUUUGCAAGGUACGGAUUUGAGGUCGAAUCCUUUUCAAGAAGGGGCGGGUGAUACGAGUACGAUCGCGUAGAUGGACUUAUGAGGGCGUAUGUUAGACUCGAGACUUGGUGUGUGCAAAUGAAGUGCAAAGGAGCACCUAAAUGGACACCAAAACCGUCCAUACAUAGCACUCCAAUGGCGCCUAUUGAAGCAUUUGACUAAGGGGUCAUUUUGGACAUUUCACACUUUAUUUUGUAACCUACUAUAAAUAUAAUAAUGUAGGAUUUUAGUCAUUAGUUUUUGUUGAAUAUUGAAGUUGUAACACUUGAAACUCUCUCUCUUGUGAGAAAGGCCCCCAUGGCUGAAACUUGUAACUAGGAAAAUCAACAUUGAGUGUGGAUUCACUCGUGAUAGACUCAAGCUUGGAAACGUUGGAUGCUUGGGAGAUCGAGGUCACUCUUGUGCCAACGUAAGAGUUAGGUAUUUAUUGUGUGUGAUGUUAAAGGUCCAAGAGUGGAAUAGGCUUUUGGGUUUUUAAGAUUAUACUUUCAAUUUGUUUAGCUAUUUAUCCUUUUACCUUUUCGUAAUCUUGUUUAGUGUUUGUGUUGUAAUCUUGUGUUCUUGUUGUUAUUGUUAAAUCCGAUCUUGUGUCUUCUUGUUCAUAAUCUUAUGUUGUUAAUCUAGUUUGUUGUACGUUGAUUUGGUGUAAUAAAAACCUUGUUAUCUUCUUGUUAUGGUGUUCUUGGGAAGCCGAGACUUGUCUCCAAAAGGGUUCACGAAUUUCUUCCAUUUUAUGGACUAUUUUUGGACUGAUUUUGUGUUUCCGUUGUCAUUCCUAUAUCACAAUGAUAUUAAAUGACCCUCUUGGAAAUGGCAUGAAAUGGCCCUCUUGGCAAUGAUAUGAAAUGGCCCUCUUGGCAAAGAUAUGAAAUAACCCUCUUGGUAAUGGCAUGAAAUGGCCCUCUUGGCAAUGAUAUGAAAUGGCAAUCUUGGCAAUGAUAUAAAAUGGCUCUUUUGGCAGUGGCAUAAAAUGGACCUCUUGGCAAUGAUAUGCAAUGAUUCUUCCGGUGAUUUGAAAACAAUUUCACCUGAAUUCGUUUGUCUGCGUCUUACUUUAUACAUGUACCUGUACUCAAGGUAGACAAUUAGUAGACACAGUGUCUCUCUUAAUGGCGACCAUAAUUAAGCUUUAUGAUAGUUUAAUGACAAAUACUGAGCAUCAUAAUUUAAAUGACUUAUUCCUCCAUCAAUCUUCUCUUUUUGAAGAAAUGACUAAAUAAAAAAUCCACCGGAUGCAAGUAAAGGAAGCAAAGUCCUUUUGAUUAUUGUAGUUAUUUUGCCAACUCCCUUGAAUGUACCUGCGCUCAAGGUAAAUAUUUAGUAGACGUAAAGUCGCUUUUACUAAUGAUUAUUUUUUAGAAAAAUUCUAAAUACAUUAUUCAUAAAAAAGAUAAGACGCCUUUGUUUGUCCUUCAUGAUAUCAAGAAAUGAGAUAGAUAAUUCAAAAGGUCCUCAAUAAAUGGGUAUUAAAUCCAUUUUUGGGGCUACUCAAAAAUACCGUUCUUAAGCAUUAUAUGCUCUAGUAUGGCUCCCAACUUGCUUGGGGAUUUUUUUGGAAGAGGGCUCUCAUUUUUUUGUAUUGAUCCCUGCAUCCGAUCCUUGAUUUACUCCUCGCCAUCUUUCGGGUACUCCGUCAUGUUGGGACUUUCACCCGGACUCCCCGUCCCAAUAGAUGCCUAGGUAAUCACUAAGUAAAAAGAUUUGCAUAGAUUUUUGAAAGUAGUCUUAGUUUUAAAAACUAGUUUCAAAACUUCUGUAAAAGAUCUACAAAAUUUGUACCAAUCAUGUCAUGUACUAGCUCAAUGAACGUAUUCCUCUUAUUUUUGACUAUAUCUGACGGAGGAGUUCCAAAACUCAUCAUCAUUGUUGGAGGGUUCUUCAAAUAGUUCUAUCAUAGCCAGAAAUUAAGUCUACCUAGACUUUGUCGCAGCUGGUGGUUUCAAAAGCUUGACUUUGACCUCUGGUGCUGGGGAAUUUGAAAUAUAUUCCAGUGUUUAGUAUAAAUUUUGAGGCCUUUCUCAAAAUUUCUACCCCAUUUUAAUGUUGUUCAAGAUGAUCUCUGCUCGAGAGAAUCCGAAGUCUUUGUUGGUCUUCGUUCUCUUUGUCGGAUCAUAUGAUCUUCCUCUUAUGAAUUUUCAAGAUUCCUUCUCGAAAAUUCUGCCCCAGAUUCCAUUUCCUAGGUUAAUAUAAUUGAUCCAUUGAGGCUCCUAUGUAUCCCGUUGAAGUAGGAAUCAGGUCAAACGUAGUGUAGGACUACGCUAAGGAUAUAUAGAAAAACCUAAUGGGUUGACCGAAGCCAACAUAGGCCGCCUACAUAUUCCUUUUUGGGAAUUCAGGUCAUCAAGUAGUUCAUACAUGAAAGGAAAGAAUAAAUUUUUCUAAGGGAUUGACCGAAGCCAUCAUAGGCCACCUACGUAUCCCUUUCUUGGGUAUUUAGGUCAAACGUAGUUCGUACAUGAAAGAAAAGGAUAAAUUUUCCUAAGAGGUUGACCGAAGCUGACAUAGGCCGCCUACGUAUCCCUUUCUUGGGAAUUCAAGUCAAACGUAGUUCGUACAUGAAAGAAAAGGAUAAAUUUUCCUAAAGGGUUGACCAAAGCCGACAUAGGCCGCCUAUGUAUCCCUUUCUUGGGAAUUCAGGUUAACCGUAGUUCGUAAAUGAAAGAAAAGGGAUUCUAGGCAAUUACAUAUCAUAAAACAAAUACUAUCAUAAAGGCGAUUACAAAUAAGCCAAGGAAACAAAAGCUAAAACAUCUUUCAAACACAGUAUCUUUUUAUCGUAUUAGAAUUGAUUGGUUUGGUCCACUCUUGACCAUCCAUCUCAGGUAGGAUUAGGGCUCCUCCAAGUUGGCCUUCUUUCGAUUUUCAAAUUCCUCUAUAUCUACUACUAACUGCUCCUCGUCACCUUUUUUUCAUUCAUCAUCAUUCCCUUCGCUUUGUUCGUCUAACCCUUUACAAGACAUUAGCGGGUUUUAAAUUAUUGCUACCUAUUGAUCGGGGAGUGAUAAGUGAAUUGGAAGUCCCAUUCAGCAAUGUUUCCUCCAAUUCAUCUUCCUUGAUUCCGAUUGUCUUAGAAAAUUCUUCCAUCAUAUUUUAUUUAUUUCAUCCUCGAGACCAUUGCUUAUGGGUUUGAAAAAUGAUCGGUAGAGUCCAAUUUAACAACUAGUCAUUUUUCUUUUCCUGUAAAAAUAUUAUAGUCAAGAAGGGGAUCUCUUAUUUAUUUUGAUCUGGUGAAGUAGGGCCAUUUUGUGUCAACACGGAGUAGUUUCUAUUACUUUCAAAGUAAAAACAACUCAAAGGCUGACGUAUUAGAUUCUGUUAGUAAUAAGCAAAGCAAGAUGAUAAGGUAGGAAGUAAACAUAUAGAGUUGUUUCUUAUCUCAUGCAAAUUGAUCCAUGAAGUAAUGAUGACUCAAGAAUUUCAAUGAAUAGGAUUUUUGUCAAUGAUAUGGAUAGGCGGAAUUCAUCAGGAAGGCUCAACUCUUAUUCACUCCGAUCUUAUCUCUUCUUUCAAGAAAGCGGAGGACAACAGAGUUUUCGAAGAUAGAAGCCGGGUCGAAAGGCUGCCUACGUUUCUCACAGAGGAGAAAUCAGGCCCUACAUAGUUCAAAACUAUAAAGGCUUCUUUUGUGUCAAUAGUCAGUCUUCCUGAAAUAAUAGUGAGCUUUUAGGAAGUUUUAAGAAUGAUUGCGGACUUUCUGGGAGACUUGGGGUAUAUUUGGUCGGAUUUUUGUAUUGUGGGGUAUAUUUCUGCCUGGAAAAUGGGAUUUGAUCAUUUUGCCUUUGAUUCGAAUCAACGUAGCAUGUAUAAGCACAUAUAAACAGUUAUAUCAUACAAGCAUGUUGUAAUAAACAUGCAUCCUAAUUUGGUGACCCUUUUGAGUCAAGGGUUGUCCUAACAUAUUUGAAGGACGUAUAUGCUUUUUAAAACCAAUCCAUUAUCCUCCCCAAGACCUUCAUAGGUGUACAUAGAUGGCAUAAAUGCCUACAAAAGUUGUACAAAUGGGAUACAAUCUUUAGGGAAAGGAAAAAUAACAUGAGAAAAAGAACAAUAUCCCACGCAGAGGAUAGGAAAUACUAGUUCCUGAAUACUCUUAUAUCAGCCUUCUUAGCUUUGUCCACUUUGGUAACAUCCAUUGAUUAUCAAGAUAUUGCCGUAUAACUGUGAUCUAUAUGCAACCGACCAAAUCGAUCAAUUUCUUGCUAUGCUUGCUUCAAUUCCUUCCUCAAUUGGUGUAUGAUUGAGGCAUCAUUACACGAAAGUAAGCAAGCUUUUUCCCAACCCCUAAAGGAUAAUGGAUUUGAUUAAUUAAACAUAUAUUUCUUCAACACAUAAAUAUGAUUCGUCUAUAAUUGAAUCGGGAUCAAUAGACGCAGGAAAAGUUUUCUAAUGAGCCCAAUACCCCCUCGGGUAUUGGGUCGUCCUAGGUUCAUGCCUAAAAUAGGGUUUUGGUUUAGCUCUAUCCUAGCUGUCUAGAGUGGGUUUGAACCAGGUUCCCAAGUAGACAACUUGGGUUUAAAAAUACGAACAGCCAUCAGACGACUCACAUGCUAAUAAACCAUCGUGUUUCCAACACAUUAUUUGGAAUUGAACAAUAGAGGCCGGGAUAUCCACGAAAUGCCAAAACAGUUUAUAAGUAAAUGUAAGAAUAUGCUAUGAGAUGCAAUAAUUAAAUACCGCAAAAUCAAAACAUAUAAACACGUAACCAGUAAAUCAAAAGACGAAAUCAAACAUUUGGUUAGAACCUAAUUAAAUCCCCAGAAGAGUCGUCAUUUCCGUUUUGCGAAAAUUUUGACUUUCAGAGAGUCGCCACUUAAUUUUGAAAAGAAAUUAAGAAAGCUUUAUAAAAUAUUUUAAACUAUCCAAAACUGAAAGAUCAAUUAAGUUUUGAAGAUUCUGAGUAAGUGGCUCCUAUUAACGUUUUAGGAAGGUUUUAAGCACCUAAAACGUCCGCUAACUUGCGGUUAUUCAGACUGUUUGAAAACAUCUUUUGAUUAACUUCUAAAAUGAUUAAUUUGUUGAAAAGUGAUUGAUUUUUUUUUAGAAAAGACUUGUGUAAAAUGGAUUUAGGCGACUUAGUAGGGAUUUUAACUAAGUCUAAACAAAACUAAUAAGCAAGUAAACACAUAAAGGGGGGAAAGAGGCAAAAGUAAAGGAUUUAGGCCAUUGGGCCCAAAUCAAUGAGACCUGUCCUAAUCUAAUUGGGCUUCCAACCCAUUUCACCUAUCCUAAUCUAAUUUUGAAGCCUUUUGGCCCAAAAUUCGCCUCACCUGUAUUAAAUUUAUAACAUUGGCUUCGAGGCCCAAAUGAAUGAAUGAAUAAAUAAAUAAACAAAAUAAAUAAAGACAACAAUACUCAAAUAAAUAAAACAACAAAUGAGACUUUUGAGUCUCUUAGCCGAUUCAAAUGUGAGUCUUUAACCCGCCUUUCUUCUUCCAACUCUUCGUGUUUAUACGCCAUGGGAUCACUUUUAGACAUAGAACUUCGGGCUUGACUCAAUGAGAGCCCAUUAAGGAAUGCAAGGGAAAAGGGUUCAUUUGGACUCCAGGGCGGAUUCAUGCGAAGGAAUGAAAAAUAUAUGAAUUAAUAUAUGUUCAUGGAAACAAACUAUUCUGGCAACAAAGGAAAUUACGAAAGUUCAAAGCUUUAAAAAUUCACAACCCCAAACCCAAGCACAAAAAUAAAACUUAGGUGCAUGCUCACUGAACAAAUAAUUGUAUCUACUAAUUUUGAAUUUUUAACAUAAAGAUCGAAGAGAGCACGACAUAUUACACCCUAGUAACUUCACAUGGAAGCAUGAAUAUGCAUGAAAGGAUUCCAGUAAAAAAGGGGGCACUCUUCCUAACCUAAUGUGAUAAUUAUUUAAAUGAGAGUAGGAUAUGAUGUUGGUUUUAAUUGCUAUAAUAUUAGAAAUGCUGCAACAUUUAUUAAAGGAUCGUACACUAAUAGUAAAUCCCAAUCAAUUCCCUUUGUGACAAAUCGACACCUUCACAUACUUAUCAAUGAAAAGAAACACACAGAAGCGAAAGAAAUUUCAUCAACUACCUAUCAAAAUACUCAACCGUAAUACAAAACUAAAGAGCUGAAGAUAACUUCUAAAAAUAGAUAAAUAAAUUUACACUACAUAUGAACUAAGACAAGUUUGUUUCAACUCUUUUCUCUUAUGUUGCACAAUAUACAAGACAAUCCAAUCAAUGAAAGCAAAGAAGUUCUCACUUAAACCAAGAAACUAUCAAUUUUCCAACACUAAAAUCAAAAUGCAGUCGUGCACUUCAAAGAAACCGAUCCAUACCAAGACUAUAUGAAAUUCUCAUGUUACUAGAAACGAAAGAAAACGGUUUGCAAGUUGUUUCGAGAACUGCAUGCCUAAACAUAACAACCCGUCCUAGUCAAGAGACUGAAUGAACACAAAAGAAGCGAAACUGACGUAUAAACACAAACUCCAUCCGACAGUAGAUAUCCAAAGAAACAAAAAACUAUGACGCUCCAUCCCCAUAACGAAAACAAAAUUGAACUAUUCUCUUUAAAGGGACAUACUCAAAAUCACAACUAUUGCAUCCAUCACCCUAAACCAAUCACAUACUGGCAACAAGCUCAAGAGACAAGAGGGGAAAAGGAAAUCCAAAUUUACACGAGAAAAGACACAGUAAAUAGAGCUAAAGGGGAAGUGGUGGGGCACUAAUAUCAACCUCAUCCUCUUUCUGACAAACUCAAAAUGAGUUUUAAUAGUCAAAACGAUCAUCAAGGAAUCAUGGGAUUUGCUAUUUUUUAUUAGACGUAUCUUCGUUAUUCUUUGUCAUUUGAGAAGCCAAAGAAUUCAAGAGGAGGUCCUAUUAAUGGCGCUACCAGCUCAACCACAUCAAACUAAUGACGACAAACAAGACAAUGUCAAAUACUAACCAUGAACAUGACACCAUCAACCCAAACCUAUUAAACAAAAUCACAGCAUGAAGCUUUAAAUGACAAAACCAGUUUUAACAAGACACCAGUAGCCCAAAACUAUUAAUCAAAAUCAAAGCAUACAACUUUAACGACGAAACCAGCCUUAAAAAGAUACCAGCAACUCGAAAUAAAAUUAAAAGCAUGAAACUUUAGCUACCAAACCAGCCUUAACAAGAUAGCAGCAACUCGAAAUAGAAUUAAAAGCAUGAAACUUUAGCUACCAAAACCAGCCUUCAAAUCACAAGUAGUACCCAAGAUGAGAUGUUAAGUCGAAGAUUAACCAACAAUAUCAAGAGUAAAUGACAAAAUCAAUGUCGAGGCAUAGACAACCGAAAUCGCACAUUAGACAACUCAAAACAAGAAUUAAUCCAAUGCAACAAUAACCCAACACUUGCUUCACAACUACAGAAAAACCUAUGGCCUUUAAGGCCUCUACCAGCAAACAACCCAGCACACAAGCAGUGUUGAAAAUCAUCUAUGACUAUAGAAUGGUGAGAUGAAGCAGAAAACGAUCGACAUUUAAAUAGCGACGGAAUAUUACCUAUUCGGGAAUAGCAAAACGGGACUACGAGCUGACGUCGAGAUGUGCCACCACCGAAAAUCAAUGUUAUCAACUCAGGACCUCUAAUUAAUCGAUCAACUCUCAAAAGAAGAAAGAAAGAGAAAAUAUUUUACUAAAAGGGACUGUUUUUGCUCUCAGAAUUUUCUUCCUCUUUUUUUUCGAAACUUUUCUCUGUUUUUGCUUUUUUUUUUUUGAAAAAAUUUUCUCUCCUCCUCCCGAAGGCCCUUCUUCAUCUCCAUGAAUAAGCUUUUUAUAGCAACAAAAAAGGAGAGUUCUCAAAACCUUUCCUCGAUGUCGGAACACAACCCUUUUUGGGGGUAAUUUCGGAAUUUUCCCUAGGGUAUUCAAAUUUCACAACUCAAGACCAAAUUUUCCCCCAACAAAUUGCACCAAUUGAACUAUUUUUGAACAAAUCAAAAACCAAAUUCAGCCAAUGAGAAUUAAGGACAAGAAUAAUUCUCCAAGAACCAAUCAAAAUCUAACUAGUAUGUACAAAUUCGUAUGAAUCAACCGUUGAAGGAGGACAACUCGUCAUAUUCUAGAAGAUUAGGUAUGAAAACGUAUAUUUGUCACAUGACCCAUACGAUCAAAAGCAAAAGGGAUAAAUUUAGCGGGAAAAAGAAAACAGGGGUCGGUUCUCGGGUUUGACGCGAAUUCGGGUUGAAGCUAUUGAGUUCGUCGAUGGUUUGUCACUGUUUUGUGAAGAGAAAAUGCUAAAGGGUAAUCUGGUCAGGCAGGUCAAAAUUGUUUACAGUCGGGUCACCGAUAUUGAUAAUGUUGG